rnacentral:rRNA from 1 species
CGCGGUAAUACGUAGGGCGCAAGCGUUAUCCGGAAUUAUUGGGCGUAAAGAGCUCGUAGGCGGUUUGUCGCGUCUGCCGUGAAAGUCCGGGGCUCAACUCCGGAUCUNCGGUGGGUACGGGCAGACUAGAGUGAUGUAGGGGAGACUGGAAUUCCUGGUGUAGCGGUGAAAUGCGCAGAUAUCAGGAGGAACACCGAUGGCGAAGGCAGGUCUCUGGGCAUUAACUGACGCUGAGGAGCGAAAGCAUGGGGAGCGAACAGGAUUAGAUACCCUGGUAGUCCAUNCCGUAAACGUUGGGCACUAGGUGUGGGGGACAUUCCACGUUUUCCGCGCCGUAGCUAACGCAUUAAGUGCCCCNCCUGGGGAGUACGGCCGCAAGGCUAAAACUCAAAGGAAUUGNCGGGGGCCCGCACAAGCGGCGGAGCAUGCGGAUUAAUUCGAUGCAACGCGAAGAACCUUACCAAGGCUUGACAUGAACCGGAAAGAUCUGGAAACAGGUCCCCCACUUGUGGUCGGUUUACAGGUGGUGCAUGGUUGUCGUCAGCUCGUGUCGUGAGAUGUUGGGNUAAGUCCCGCAACGAGCGCAACCCUCGUUCUAUGUUUCCAGCACGUGAUGGUGGGGACUCAUAGGAGACUNCCGGGGUCAACUCGGAGGAAGGUGGGGNCGACGUCAAAUCAUCAUGCCCCUUAUGUCUUGGGCUUCACGCAUGCUACAAUGGCCGGUACAAAGGGUUGCGAUACUGUGAGGUGGAGCUAAUCCCCCAAAACCGGUCUCAGUUCGGAUUGGGGUCUNCAACUCGACCCCAUGAAGUCGGAGUCGCUAGUAAUCGCAGAUCAGCAACGCUGCGGUG